CCUACGGGCGGCUGCAGUGAGGAAUAUUGGUCAAUGGGAGAGAUCCUGAACCAGCCAAGCCGCGUGAGGGAAGACGGCCCUAUGGGUUGUAAACCUCUUUUGUCGGAGAACAAAACCCGGGACGUGUCCCGGACUGCGUGUAUCCGAAGAAAAAGCAUCGGCUAACUCCGUGCCAGCAGCCGCGGUAAUACGGGGGAUGCGAGCGUUAUCCGGAUUUAUUGGGUUUAAAGGGUGCGUAGGCGGUCCGUUAAGUCAGCGGGAAAAUUGCGGGGCUCAACCCCGUCGAGCCGUUGAACCUGGCAGACUUGAGUUGGCGAGAAGUACGCGGAAUGCGCGGUGUAGCGGUGAAAUGCAUAGAUAUCGCGCAGAACUCCGAUUGCGAAGGCAGCGUACCGGCGCCAGACUGACGCUGAGGCACGAAAGCGUGGGGAUCGAACAGGAUUAGAUACCCCGGUAGUC
rnacentral:rRNA from 1 species